UACGGAGGGUGCGAGCGUUGUUCGGAAUCACUGGGCGUAAAGGGCGUGUAGGCGGUCCGCUAAGUCUGAUGUGAAAGCCCGGGGCUCACCCCCGGAAGUGCAUUGGAAACUGGCGGACUCGAGUCCCGGAGAGGAGAGUGGAAUUCCUGGUGUAGCGGUGAAAUGCGUAGAUAUCAGGAGGAACACCGGUGGCGAAGGCGGGUCUCUGGGCAACUACUGACGCUGAGGAGCGAAAGCGUGGGGAGCGAACAGG
rnacentral:rRNA from 1 species